rnacentral:rRNA from 1 species
UACGUAGGGUGCAAGCGUUGUCCGGAAUUAUUGGGCGUAAAGAGCUCGUAGGCAGUUUGUCGCGUCUGCUGUGAAAACCCGAGGCUCAACCUCGGGCCUGCAGUGGGUACGGGCAGACUAGAGUGCGGUAGGGGAGAUUGGAAUUCCUGGUGUAGCGGUGGAAUGCGCAGAUAUCAGGAGGAACACCGAUGGCGAAGGCAGAUCUCUGGGCCGUAACUGACGCUGAGGAGCGAAAGCAUGGGUAGCGAACAGG